rnacentral:misc_RNA from 1 species
GAUGAAGAACGUAGUGAAAUGCGAUACGUAAUGUGAAUUGCAGAAUUCAGUGAAUCAUCGAAUCUUUGAACGCAUAUUGCGCUCUCUGGUAUUCCGGAGAGCAUGCUUGUUUGAGUAUCAGUAAACACCUCAACUCCCUUUUCUUUUUUGAAAUUGGAGCUGGACUUGAGUGAUCCCAACGCUUUCUUCCAAGAAAGUGGCGGGUUGCUUGAAAUGCAGGUGCAGCUGAACUUUUCUCUGAGCUAUAAGCAUAUCUAUUUAGUCUGCCUAAAAAACAGAUUAUUACCUUUGCUGCAGCUAACAUAAAGGAGACUAGUUCUUGUGCUGACUGAUGCAGGAUUGACAGAGACAGCUUCGGCUGACUUUGUAAACUCGAUCUCAAAUCAAGUAAGACUACCCGCUGAACUUAAGCAUAUCAAUAAGCGGAGGA